UUUGAUCCUGGCUCAGAUUGAACGCUGCGGCAUGCCUUACACAUGCAAGUCGAACGGCAGCACGGGAGCAAUCCUGGUGGCGAGUGGCGAACGGGUGAGUAAAGUAUCGGAACGUGCCCAGUCGUGGGGAAUAACGUAGCGAAAGUUACGCUAAUACCGCAUACGAUCUAUGGAUGAAAGCGGGGAUCGCAAGACCUCGCGCGAUUAGAGCGGCCGAUAUCAGAUUAGGUAGUUGGUGGGUAAAGGCUCACCAAGCCGACGAUCUGUAGCUGGUCUGAGAGGACGACCAGCCACACUGGGACUGAGACACGGCCCAGACUCCUACGGGAGGCAGCAGUGGGGAAUUUUGGACAAUGGGCGCAAGCCUGAUCCAGCCAUGCCGCGUGCAGGAUGAAGGCCUUCGGGUUGUAAACUGCUUUUGUACGGAACGAAAAGGUUUGACUUAAUACGUUGGACUCAUGACGGUACCGUAAGAAUAAGCACCGGCUAACUACGUG
rnacentral:rRNA from 1 species